rnacentral:rRNA from 1 species
CAGCCGUAAACUAUGCUCGCUAGGUGUCAGGCAUGGCGCGACCGUGUCUGGUGCCGCAGGGAAGCCGUGAAGCGAGCCACCUGGGAAGUACGGCCGCAAGGCUGAAACUUAAAGGAAUUGGCGGGGGGAGCACAACAACGGGUGGAGCCUGCGGUUUAAUUGGACUCAACGCCGGACAACUCACCGGGGACGACAGCAAUAUGUAGGCCAGGCUGAAGACCUUGCCUGAAUCGCUGAGAGGAGGUGCAUGGC